rnacentral:rRNA from 1 species
AGAGUUUGAUCAUGGCUCAGGACGAACGCUGGCGGUGUGCUUCACACAUGCAAGUCGAACGGAGUAGCAAUACUCAGUGGCGGACGGGUGAGUAACACGUGGGAAUCUACCAUUAGGUGGGGAAUAACAGGCCGAAAGGACUGCUAAUGCCGCAUAUGUAGGCAUCUCGACAGAGGUGUUUAUGAAAGGAGUAAUCCGCCUUUUGAUGAGCCCGCGUCCGAUUAGCUAGUUGGUAGGGUAAAAGCCUACCAAGGCGACGAUCGGUAGGUGGUCUGAGAGGAUGAUCACCCACAAUGGGACUGAGACACGGCCCAUACUCCUACGGGAGGCAGCAGUGGGGAAUUUUACGCAAUGGGGGAAACCCUGACGUAGCGACACCGCGUGAGCGAAGAAGCCCUUUGGGGUGUAAAGCUCUGUCAACAGGAACGAAACAAAUGACGGUACCUGUGGAGGAAGCAUCGGCUAACUACGUGCCAGCAGCCGCGGUAAGACGUAGGAUGCAAGCGUUGUCCGGAUUUAUUGGGCGUAAAGAGUUCGUAGGUGGUUUGUUAAGUCUGAUGUUAAAGACCGGGGCUCAACCUCGGAAAUGCAUUGGAUACUGGCAGACUGGAGUGCAGUGGAGGCUAGUGGAAUUCCCAGUGUAGCGGUGAAAUGCGUAGAUAUUGGGAAGAACACCGGUGGCGUAGGCGACUAGCUGGGCUGUAACUGACGCUGAGGAACGAAAGCCAGGGGAGCGAAUGGGAUUAGAUACCCCAGUAGUCCUGGCCGUAAACGAUGGAUACUAGGCGUAGUGGGUAUCGACCCCUGCUGUGCCGCAGCUAACGCGAUAAGUAUCCCGCCUGAGUAGUACGGCCGCAAGGUUGAAACUCAAAGGAAUUGACGGGGCCCGCACAAGCGGUGGAACAUGUGGUUUAAUUCGAAGCAACGCGAAGAACCUUACCAGGGC